rnacentral:lncRNA from 1 species
GACAAUUCGCUGACUAAGAAUUACGUGUCUCGAAAGUCCAUGGCUAAAAAGUUCUCCAUGUGGAUAGCAGAACUCAUUCUGCUGCAUUUCAAAACUACCUAUGACUUGUAUUUGUCUGGCCAGACAAAAUGUGAGCUUGAAAGAGAAUACAUGCAGACGAAUGCGUAUAUUGCAUGUUUUAGGAACUAUCAGCAUUAAUAAUGUCACCACCUUGAAAGACACUCAGAUGACAGGCAUUAGAAGCAGGGCGAGACGAGGCAUGGGGGCCGGUGGCCGUGGUGGCCCGGCGGCAGGUGUAGGCACACGGCGGCAGCGGCACCCCGCGACCCUUCAGACCCUUCAGGUAAGGGCGGCCGGGUGGGGGGCUCCCACCACCGCCGUGGGGGCCGAGGAGGCGCCCCCGGGCCGCCGGGCGGAGGGCAGGGAGGCCGGGGGCGGCGGGGCGGGCCGGGGCGGGGCCGUGCCGCUGGCUCCCCGGGCGGCGCUGGGGCCCUGCCAGAACCAUUUUGGUUCGCGGGGUGGCGGCAGCGCAGCCCCCGACGGCCCCAGCGCGGGGCUCCCGCUGUCAAACCCGGCGCGGCAGUCCCCGAAAGGCUUAGUGAAGGGGUGUUCUGCCCGGCUAGGCGGCUGUCGAAAGUGUCUUAUUUAUUUUUAUUUUUUUAAUCUUUUCGGCCGGCUGUCGGAGCGAGGGAAGCGCCUGCGCCGGCUGGGGCUGCGGCGAGCGUCGAGGAUCGCUGGAAGAGUGAAUUUCUCCUGCCCGAGUAACGGGGAACGGGGCAAACCUGCCGCGGCUCCCAGGUGGAGGUGGAUCUUGGAUGAAGAGACUGACCAAAUUAAAAAUAUAUAUGUAUAUAUAUUAAAUAAAGGGAUCUCAGAAUAUGCUUCUGUUUCUGUAUAG